rnacentral:misc_RNA from 1 species
GCGUAACCGUAGGUACAUUUCUCGUAAAGGUCCAUUGAUUGUGUAUGGAACUGAAGGAGCUAAGCUUGUGAAGGCAUUCAGGAACAUUCCUGGUGUUGAAAUCUGCCAUGUUGAUCGUUUGAAUCUGCUCAAGCUUGCUCCAGGUGGUCACCUUGGUAGGUUUAUUAUCUGGACCAAAUGUGCUUACGAGAAAUUAGAUGCCAUUUAUGGUACAUUCGAUAAGCCAUCACUGGAGAAGAAGGGAUAUUUGUUGCCAAGGCCAAAGAUGGUUAAUGCUGAUCUUGCCAGGAUUAUCAAUUCUGAUGAGGUGCAGUCUGUUGUUAGACCAAUCAAGAAGGAUGUUAACAAGAGGGCAACUUUGAAGAAGAAUCCAUUGAAGAACUUGAACGUUUUGCUGAAGCUCAAUCCUUAUGCAAAGACUGCCAGGAGGAUGUCCCUUUUGGCCGAG